GUAGGCUUUGAGCGUCCGCUGGCAGAGCGCCGAGCGGACACAAUCAUCUUUAUUAAAGCGGACAAUCCCUACCAUUUCAUCUUCUUCAAACCGGGCCAGAGCGUCACUCAAACCCGACUGAACGCCGCGAGGCAAAUCACACUGGGUGAUAUCCCCGUUCACGAUAACCGUGACGUUCUCCCCGAGGCGGGU
rnacentral:antisense_RNA from 1 species